rnacentral:lncRNA from 1 species
GUUUACCAUCAGGUGUAUGUUACUGUCAUAAUGUAGAAGGUGACCACUAAAGAUGGGAGACAGACAAGCCAACAUCUAUAAGAUGUUACUCAGUAGCGUUCUACAUGAAUGCUAAAGGUUAACGACAUCCAUACUUAGUGAACAUUGGACGACGAAGAGGAGGAUGAAUAGGGAAUCCGCAGCGAGCACAGUUUUGUGAAGAGCGGCACAGGUGACCUAGCUGUCAAGUAACCAUAAUGCCAACCACGAAGGGAACCGGUGCGCCUGGCAGCCCACGUGGGCAGCGUUACCGACCAGCCUCAGAGUUUGACGAUGCCACACUUGCCCAGAAGAGAGAGUACUGGAGGAACAAAAAACGAGAGCAACGGGCCAAGCUGUCAGAGGUCAAGAGGGAGAGGUCAAAAGCAGCAAACAGAGGGAGUAAAUCCUCGGGCGGCAAUGUAGUUGUUAACUCAGUGCCAUUCAAUUCCAGUGGCUCUUGUUCAAUGACAAGGUCUGCUCCCCCAUUGUUGAAUAGCGAUGGUUCCUACCAAAAUGAUGUUUGUGGUGCACCAGUAGUCUUACUGAAAGGAAAGGGUUCUGCUGUCUCCUAUCAUCAGAACUAUACUGUUGGAGAGGGUGAGCAAAACUCUUCCUCAGCAAACCAAAAGGAGAGGUGGUUUCAGAGGAUAAAACUCAACAAAGUUUUACCACAGUUCCAAACGUCUGGCGCAGAUCAAGAGAAAGGUGCAAUGGUGUGCCAGAUGGUCGUAAAAAGUUCGCCAACGGGGGACGCCGUGAUCGGAGACGUUACCUCAGCCAAACCCAAUGGAGUGCUGCUAAACUGCGGCUCUUCUGCAUCUCCGGGAAGCGUGGCGACGAGACCCUCUGGUUCGGCACCUGGCAAGCUGCAGGGCGGAGUGACUCUCUUCAAUGGCAGCUCCUCUGUAGUGUCAACGGAGCCGCAUCUGGCAACCCCAGGUGAAUCAACACCCGAUGCGUCAACUAAUGCAGUGCAUGUGCAGCACAGGCCGCUGACCGCUAAUUCUGCCACAGGGACUAGCCAGUCUACCCCUAACCUUAUUCACAAACCAGGGGGUAGGCCUAGAGGGAUGAAAGUAACACCGCUAGUUGGGAAAAAUAGUGCCUUGGCAGCGGCACAAGGGGUUAGAAGCAUCAACGACACACCAGCCUCUCUGGAGACUGAGGAGGAGAGAGCUGCCAAGCGCAGGGAGAAUUGGCGCAUCAAGAAGAGGGAACAGAGAGCGAAGCAGGCGGCUAGCUUAAAGAAGGCCAGUGAGAGGAUCAGGAGCAUGGAUGUGUCGUUGCAGAAAGCACCGCAGUUACCCAGCAUGGUCGUGGCACGUCCCCCUUCUGCUUUGACCGGACAGGGCCAGAGGCAAUGCGUCAAUAGGGCCAGGGCCCCGUUCACCUCAGCCGGACGCCUGCUGAAGAAUGCCAGAGCCGUGGCAACCGUUGCGGUCAAAAGGGAAUCUGAGGAUUCGACCCUGGCAAAGCUAGCAGCAGUUGACGCUAAUGGACCAACUGUACAGCUUAAACUACAAAAUCUGCAGGAGGCUAACGCGACGAUGCAGACUCGUAUUGCAUCUAAUAUAAUUGGUUAUAAACCAGCAGGGGAACCAAUCACAAGCCUCCCGGGUCCGGUGCCGUUUGCAAACACUAGCCGAGGGUUGGUCCGUUGUAGAACUCCGAGGCAGAGGUUCAUUGAAACCCAAAGAAAUUUACUGGGUCAGAGGAACAUGAGAAAGUUCCCGUGUCACGCCGCAGCCUUCACAGCCCACAGUGCACCCCAAGAUGACCCAAUGGAGACGCCCGAGCAGUUGGCGGCCAGGAAGCGGGAGUACUGGCGUGUCAAGAAGCGGGAACAGCGUGCCAAGCUGUCAGUGGAAGUAAGGGCUAAGAUGAAGGAGAGGGAUGGUCUGCUACGAAGAGUCAAGCGUUACCAGAGCAUACUGGAGGAUAUGAGGAAGGCCAGAGUGGCGGGCUGCAACACGCUGUCACAACCGCCAGGAAAUAGGCCUACCCAUACUAGCGCCUCAGAGACCAUAGGAGGUUUCAUCAAGGAAGACGGUACAUUGACCAAUAAAAUUCCCCAAAUUGAUCUCACUACAGAAGUGAAAGACACCGGAGGGAUGCGCGUUAAUAAUUCAUUCGCCAACACGCACCACCAACAUCAGCUGCUUCCCAAUGUACCUGGGGAUGCCUCUAGCAAUGUGUUGUUGAGUCACCCAAUACGAGUUAACCCGCCACCUUUAAUCCGUCCCGCUCAGGUCAAAGUCUCCUGUCCUCCGAUCGGCCUGUCACUCGCCAAACCUCCCAGGUUAGUAUCAAUAAAACCAAGGACUGAUUUCCGUGCCGCUCCAAAUUCACACCCAGUUAUCCAGCCCCAGAGUCAUAUUACCCUCACACACCCUCAAAACACUCAAAACCCCUUUCCUGGUGUGCCUAAAGCAAUGCCACAUUCAGCUAGCUGCGUCAUGAAGAUGGCCGUCAAAACCUCUAACGUCUCCACUGUGCUGAACUUGGACCCGAAGCUAACAGAGGAGGAAAGGAUGGCUAAGAAGAGGGAGUACUGGAGGGUGAAGAAACGAGAGCAGAGGGCAGCCCGCGCCAAUCGGCUACGGCAAGGAGCUCAAGCCAGGGGAAAUGCUGCCUCGCAGAAGAGGCGAAACCAGAGGUUAGCGCGAUUAUCUACGGCCAGUCCCAAUGUCAACAACUCUGUGAAUAACAUGCCGACUAUCAAGCCUCUUUCAAAUACCAGCGUGUCCGUGCCUCCGCAGGGACACAAUAUCAAACAAGAGAGAGACUCGACCUCAGUAGACCAACCAUGUCCUCUGCAGGAACUGGAAUGUGUAGACGUCAAACCGCCGCCGCCACCACCGCCGCCACCACCUGAGCCACAACUGAGUGAGCCGGCAGACCUGGCGUUGAGUGCCGACAGCCAGGCUACCACUCUCCUGGCGGUGGCCUCUAUGAAGAAGCUCCUGGAGGAAUCGCUGAGCACCGUGGCCGACUGUAAAACAGAGCAGCCCGACUGCAUGGCGGAACAGCUGCCUUGUAAAACGGAGCCUCAAGCCUACCCUUCUGAGGAGGCGCAUGUCCAAAUGGAGGUCAAGCCAAAUCUACCUCUGCUCACCCUGGGAGACGAGGAGAAGGUUUCCCUAUCUGCUGAUCUGUCAUUGGAGGUCAAAGGGUGGCAGGUGGAUGCUGACUCCCUCCCGCCAUGUCAGGUGGCAUUUCAUCCACUGAGCCCCAACCCAAAAUACUCUCCCCUGUCCAAUGGCACUGAGACCCCCUCUUUCCCGGCCCCUGCUCACGAGCCCCAGUCUCAUUCACCCGUACACUCCCACGCGGCGGCCUCUGGAGAACCUCUCCUCCCAUACCCUCGCAGAGCCCAGAGGCUGCGUGAUAAGAAAACCGGUCACCACCAUUGCUGCUCUCCAGAACCCCCCAAGUUACACCACCAUGCUCCACAACAACAACAACAACAACCACCACCUCAUCAACAAGACCAGUAUCAACUGCUACAACAUCAACAGACAACCCGGCAGCAACAGCAGCAUCACCACGCCCCGGCGGCAGCAGACCACAGUGUGACUCUGCAGAAGAGGGAGUACUGGAGGAUAAUGAAGAGGCAGCAGAGAGCCAGGAAGGCCCGGCAGGGAGGAGGGGGGCUCAGGCAGGGGGACUACAGUAGACGACUGGCCCUCAAAGCAGCACAGGCCCCAAGCCUCUUCAUCGUCAAGACACAGACACAGAGGCCCGGGCAGAAAAGUGGGAGCUUCAGUCUUCAAGCACCGCCGUUGCUCAGUCCACAGCCUUCCCCGCUUCUCCGGCCCAUUUCCCCUCCUGCCUCUGGACCCCAGGAAACCCACUGCGCAGUCCCAAACGUCCCGUCCCUUCUGGUCGUGAGCCCCACCCGCUCCGACACGGGACAUCGCUCCGAUGCACUGCAGCUCAGACCUCUGGUUAACUACGCCGCCAUCUCGCGUUCGCCGACUGGUCACACGGAUUCCCCGCAGACAUCGCAUGGCUUUAGUACCGUGUCCCUGCCUGUAGAAGAGGAGGUUGACGGCCCUCCAUUGGGCGAGGGGAAGAACGGCGGGCUGCUGUUAGUGGAGAGCCAACCGGAGGCGGUCCCGGGAUCCAGCCCUGAUUCGCCGCGGGUUAGAAAAUGGCGACUGCAAGUACAGGAAACCGCAGACGCCGACACAUCGCCUAUAGCCACUCUCAGUCCACCGCCCAACCCUCUGACCAGCAUCAAGCUGUUACCCAUCCAUCCACCCGGUCAGGCGUCUUCUUUCACACCAACGCAGGCUCCUUUCAUCCGUCACAGUGCUGAGAUUUGCCAAAGUGGGAGUGAUCAAAAUGUGCAGUCUUCUUCAACACAGGGGCUAGUCACAAGUCCCAUCUACGUGAGCUCCAUGGGUCCGCCCAAGCCGGUGCCGGGAGAAUCGGAAGAGGAGACCCUGAGGAAGAAACGGGAGUACUGGAGGGUGAAGAAGAAGGAGCAGAGGGCCAGGAAGGCCAUGAGGGACAGGGAGCUGACGGAGAAGAGGGCGUCGGUCAACUGGAGGCCCAUCCUCCCCAGCGGUCAGACGGACCUGCUGCACGGGAUGGACACACAGGAACAGGAUCCUGACCAUUGGCUUAAUACAGCAGAGGACUCUGAACUUCUAAGUACUUCCACAGAGACAGACAUGGGCUACUUCCCUGACUCAAGCCAUAUGGAACCUUUAGAAGACGAAUCAGAGCUUCUUCACCCGGACGACGGCACCGGUGACGGCUACAACGCCCCGUUCUCGGACACCGUCUGGAGGAACCGCUACCUCAUGGACUACGACCCGCUGAACCAGCUGCUGGUGUGCAUGGUGUGUGGGGACCUCCAGUACUCCCACAGCCUGGAGGGAGUGCGGGCCCACAUCGAAGACGCCCACCCGGACACGCUGAGCCUGGACGCUCCCGAGCACCACCGCAUCCUGGAGGCCUGGGACGAGCAGGUGUCCAGGAGGGAGCGCUUCUUCACCAGCCAGCUGCAGCAGCACAGCGGUGCGAUGGGAGUGGACAGUGCCAGCCUCCCAGCCGAAGUGGAAGUCAUGGUUGACACGGAGGAAGCGGCGUACGCGGCGAACAGCAAGAGCUCCAAAGCCAAACCCACGAGGAGACUGUGAGAGCAAAGAAGCACAAAUGGCUGUAAGAUGGCCCACAUAGCGUGGCAUUGGAAGAUAGUUUUGGCAAGUAGAAGAGGAAGAGAACCUAACUGCUGGUUCCUUGCUUUAGAGUGUGUGUUUUCUACAGAGCAGUUCAUAGCUACAACGGAUGGACUCCUCUUGAACUGUGUACCAGUGUAAGGGACCGUGAACCACAAGUGACACGUUUUACCUCAUUAACUUUGGGAUACAUGCACAGACGCUUUUGAAAACGCUGUUUUAUAGUGAUCGUGAUUCACUACUACAACCCCCCCCCCCCCCCCCCAAACAAAACGUUAACAUGUUCGUGAGGGAUGAUAAUGGCUUCUAUUGUCUUUGGGCUGAAGCACAGUCCGGGUUCUCCCUAAGCCAACAGCGAUGGGUUAACUUCAACCUGUGGUGUAUGUGGCCAUGACAAACGAGUCAGUAGUGGUCCGCAACCUGAAUCGAUGGCAUGUCUUUGGGUUUUAUUCAUCAGUGUAUCAGGAUCAAUAUGGGUGAUCAGUUGUUCUGUGAUUGAUAUUUGUCUGUACAUACAGUGCAUUUUAUAAUUUUGGUUAAUAGUACAUAAUUUAAUAUUUCUCACCGUUCCCAGUAGGUUCUGUACUGAGUUAAGAAUAAUUUGUUAUUCAGGUUUAAGAUGUCCGUUUAAAAAAGACUAAAUCACAAGGGACAUACUUGCAUGAUGGUAUAUUCAAAAUGUGCCCUAUAAAGUACUGAUUUUUCUUUUUGUUUAUGCACCAUACCUGUAACACUGAAUUAAAAUUAUAUAUAUAUAUAUUCUGGCACAUUUCAAAACAAAAUCAGUUUUCUUAAACCAUUGUACUGGAAUGUAAAAUAAGGUUCUUCCUUUUUAAAAGUUUUUUUUUGCAAUAGUGAUUUAUGAGAAAUGUAUUUCUGCACUGUAAAUACAACAUAAUAUUUAUGUUUAAAGGGGUGGUGAAAUACCAAUGCCCUUUUAAUGUAUUAUUUCAUUACCUAUGAAAAAUAAGCUUAUCACUUUAUGGUUGCUCACAUUGUUUCUGAUCUGAUUCAUAUUUCGUAGUAGUCUACAGAUACUGUGUACAUUAACUCUUUAAAUGUCUUUCUUUAGUCUCAACAGUCAGUGGCACAAACACUGUGUUAAUGUCAAAAACAAUCAAUUAUCAGCUUUUUUUUUUUAAAUUUAAUUUUCUAUUUCUUUAUAACUCCAGAAAACCUGAAAAGAUCCAAUGGCCUGCUGGGAUGUUUAACAUUUUAUAUACUACCUAUAUAUGUAUCAGAUAUCAUGUGUAAGAUAUUUUUUAUUAUUUUUUGGUUCACCAGUAUGAAGAGGAAAAUGGAAAAAAAAAAAAUAAUACAAUAGAGCACAAAGCUUUGGAAGCCAGCCUUCUGUUUUCUUAAGAGACUGAAAAUGCAUUUAAAACAGGACGUACUGUGGUUGCGCCCUUAUACAGGUGUAACAGGAUCUAAAGGUGGAGGGACACUGACCAAGCUGUACCAUUUUACCUGAUUAGAUUGUACCUCUAAAUUGGUUCCCAUCUUGUUUCUGUUUAAAUGGAAUGUUCCAAUGCGUUUCCAGUAACCAAUAAACCCUUUUUUGUACCUUUUUAAAGUUGUUCUAUGAUUCCCUGUGAUGUGGUACAAUGAUAAAGUGUAAAUGAGGACAUGUCUUUUCCUGUAUGGUUUAAAAUCAACAAUGUGCGUAAUUCACUAUCAAUCAAACCAGGCUCGCAGGGGUCACUAACCAGUUUG